rnacentral:rRNA from 1 species
GGGAGGAACACCAGUGGCGAAAGGCGGCUCUCUGGUCCACACCUGACGUUGAGGUGCGAAAGCGUGGGGAGCGAACGGGAUUAGAUACCCCGGUAGUCCACGCCGUAAACGAUGGAUACUAGGUGUAGGAGGUCAUUUACCCCUUAUGUGCCGUAGCUAACGCGUUAAGUAUCCCGCAAUGGGGACUACGAUCGCAAGGUUAGAACUCAAAGGACUUGACGGGGGCACCGCACUAAGCAGCGGAGCGUGUGGUUUAAUUCGAUGAUACGCGAAGAACCUUACCUGGGUUUGACAUGUUGGUAGUAGUGAAGCGAAAACGGAACGACCCGUCGGGGAGCCAUCACAGGUGCUGCAUGGUUGUCGUCAGCUCGUGCUCGUGAGAUGUUGGGAUUAAGUCCACUCCAACGAGCGCAACCCUCGUCGUUUAGUUACAAGUGUCUUGACGAGACUGCCGGUAUCAAACCGGAGGAAGAUGGGGAUGACGUCUAGUCAGCAUGGUCUUUAUAUUCCAACGGGUCUACACACACGCUACAAUGGCCGGCUACGAUAGGUUGCCACACCUGCGAGGUGAAGGUAAUCCUCCAACCCGGUCUCAGUUCGGAUUGUAGUUUGUAACUCGAUUGCAUGUAAGGCGGAGUUG